rnacentral:tRNA from 2 species
CGGGCAGUGGCUCAACCUGGUAGAGCGCUGCUUUCGGGUAGCAGAGGCUGAGAGUUCAAAUCUCUCCUGCCCGACCA